AUAGCGUAUAUUAAAGUUGUUGAGGUUAAAAAGCUCGUAGUUGAACCUUGGGCCUAGCCGGCCGGUCCGCCUCACCGCGUGCACUGGCUCGGCUGGGCCUUUCCUUCUGGAGAACCGCAUGCCCUUCACUGGGUGUGCUGGGGAACCAGGACUUUUACUCUGAACAAAUUAGAUCGCUUAAAGAAGGCCUAUGCUCGAAUACAUUAGCAUGGAAUAAUAGAAUAGGACGUGUGGUUCUAUUUUGUUGGUUUCUAGGACCGAAGUAAUGAUUAAUAGGGAUAGUUGGGGGCAUUAGUAUUUAGUAGCUAGAGGUGAAAUUCUUGGAUUUA
rnacentral:rRNA from 1 species